AGAAUCGACGCUGGCGGCGUGCCUAACACAUGCAAGUCGAACGAGAAAGUGGAGCAAUCCAUGAGUAAAGUGGCGCACGGGUGAGUAACACGUGACUAACCUACCCUCGAGUGGGGAAUAACCUCGGGAAACCGGGGCUAACACCGCAUAACAUCUACGGAUCAAAUGCGUAAGCAGCUUGAGGAGGGGUCGCGGCUGAUUAGCUAGUUGGCGGGGUAAUGGCCCACCAAGGCAGUGAUCAGUA
rnacentral:rRNA from 1 species